rnacentral:lncRNA from 12 species
CCCACCCCCAAAGUCCGGCACUCCCACCCCCAAAGUCCGGCACUCCCACCCCCAAAGUCCCGGCACCUCCACUCCCCAGUCCCACCAUUUCCACUCCCCAGUCCCAGCAGCACGUGGGGCUGUGUGUGCUGAGCAGCGUUUCCCCACCACGGCCCGGCCGCGAUGAGGAAUUGAGGCGGAGGCGCCGUCAGGCCGUGAUGAAUUCGCAGCCGCGGCAGGCUGACAGUAAAAUCAGGAACUGAUUGGAGUCCUUCUGAAUAACAAAAUCAUCUCAGAA